rnacentral:rRNA from 1 species
AUUGAACGCUGGCGGCAGGCCUAACACAUGCAAGUCGAACGAGUGGCGGACGGGGGAGUAAUGUCUGGGAAACUGCCCGAUGGCGGGGGAUAACUAAUGGAAAAGGUAGCUAAUACAGCAUACCAUCGGAUGUGCCCAGAUGGGAUUAGCUAGUGGGUGGGGUAACGGCUCACCUAGGCGACGAUCCCUAGCUGGUCUGAGAGGAUGACCAGCCACACUGGAACUGUGACACGGUCCAGACUCCUACGGGAGGCAGCAGUGGGGAAUAUUGCACAAUGGGCGCAAGCCUGAUGCAGCCAUGCCGCGUGUAUGAGGAAGGCGUUCGGGUUGUAAAGUACUUUCAGCGAGGAGGCGUUACUCGCAGAAGAAGCACCGGCUAACUCCGUGCCAGCAGCCGCGGUAAUUC